GUGUAAUAUUUAAAAGCGCCACAACACAGCUGCCUGGCAGUCUUAUUGCCUGGCACUCAGGGACUGGAGUCUAACACAGCCAGAGGCAGUCAAGGGAAGUCUGUGAAGCUGCCUGACUACAAGCAGAAGGCAGCACCUGACAUCCACCCCUCCUCCUUCUGGGAGCUAUGAUCAUCCGCCUCAGGCACUUAACCCCGGGGUACUUCCGCUUGCUCCAGAUGCAGCUGGCCGGGGGGCUGGAGUCCGAACCUAAAGACCGUCUGGUGAAUCACUUGGCUCUAUUCCUGGCUAUCAUGG